ACGCGAGGGCCUCCAAGGGCAGACAGUGGGGUGAGUGGGGACAGGCCCCCGCGCCCAACCUGUGGGGCGGGGCUCUGUGCAGCUCCCAGGUCUCUGUGUCCCCAGUCCCAGCUUGGGAAGGGCUGUGCCAAUCCCGGACAACAGAGCCCCUGAUCUCAUCCUCCUCCGAUGACAUCUAAGCUGCUCCCAACCCCACUAGAAUGCCUCUGGAGCACUCCCAACAGCCUCUGCGUGGCUUCAGACCUUCCCUAAGCAGCGGUCGACCACUCGCACAAGCUCUAAAAUCCUCUGCCGAGUGCUGAACAGCUCUGGGCAGCCCUAAGGGGCUCUGCAACAGCUUUCAGCCUCCCUUCGAGUCCUCCAAACCUUCUCGCAAGGGCCCAGUGCCUUUUCCAAAGUACCUGAUGGAAAGAAAAACAAACAAACAACCCGCACACUGGUUGGCUCUUUGAAGCAGCUCUGAACAGCUCUGAAGAGCUCCAAGCCUCUCCUAAAUGCCCUCCGAGCCUGACGUGGGAAGGGAGUGGAGGGAAGGGUGUUUUUGAUGCUGGGAGCCUGGGGUGCCUUGCCUCAGCCCCAGCAGAGCCUGUCCAGCACCCCGGGUCCCUGUUGCCCGUCUGGUGGUCCCAAUGCCGGCCGAGCUCGCUCCUCACACCCCAGCUGCCUGUGGUGCCCACAACAGGGGGAAGACGGAGCAGGCGGCCAGGCUGUCCACGUCACUUAUGCGGGAGAUGGUGGCUGUGAGGCUGGUAGGACGGACAAGCCCGACGUGGGCCUUGGGGAAGAAAGGGUGUGCAGGGCACCCGUUGGCUUUGGGGGCACUGGUCUCAGUGGGGAUGAGGGUGGGGGUCUGAGCCCCCAAGGCCCAGCAGUCUUGCCCACACCGACACGUGUCCUGCUGUGCCUUGACCUGCAGGAGGAGCAGCUGGUGGCAAAGAGGCAGGGCAUCACUUUCUGGCUGCAGAAGCUGUUUGUGCUCCUCGCCUGCCUGCAGCUCGUGUUGCUCUGCCUGGUCCUGCUCACGAGGGACAGCAUCAGCCGGGACCUGCCCUGCAGGCUGGCGUCCACCUUUGGGAGCUGCCCAGCGUGGCCACCACCCUUCUGAUACCCCUGGCCUUGCACUGCGUGGGGUGGAGAGUGACAGGGACGCUGGGCGCCGUGCAGACCGGCAAAUGUCCAACCCUGCAGCACCACCCUUCUCCCGGGGCACCGCUGCACACAUCUGGAAUGGCAUGUGCAGGCACACUGCACAGCCAGCUGUGACUCCACCUCGCUGUGGAGGACGUUUGCCUGCCAAAUACUUGCCACCGAGCUCACCCUGCCUUUAACAAUAAAAAGCACAGCUGAGAA